GCGUCCGUAGCUCAUGGGAGAGAGCGCUGUUCUCCGAAGAUAGAGGUUGCAGGUUCGAAUCCUGUCGGACGCA
rnacentral:tRNA from 2 species